UGUCAGCAUCCAUCAUUCAGUCUUCAGUUUUAUUAGUUUUGUCUGCACUCCAGUGUUAUUGUGUUGCUUGUCUCUGUUUAUCGGUUUUGAUAGUUUUGAUUGAGUGUUCACGAGAAAUUACUUCUGCGUGGUACAAGCCGCUGAAGCUAGCGUUCACUGUGGUUCCGCAGCAAUGAAUUGUCAGGAAAGGCAGCUACCUCAAUUUACGAAUUUGGCCUAUAUCAUUUUCUAGAAAAUAACGGAACUUCAAUGAAAUUCACACCAAAAGAAGAUGGUGCAUUUGACCGCGAUGAGUAGUUGCUGGAGGAUUGAUUACUGAUGAUGCGGGAGGAGAGGAUGGAACAAUGUAGCUACAACAAAACGACAACACCGAAAAAGAAAGGUGUAAGAGAUUGUGUAUUACGCUACUUUCUGCAUAGCUUUAAGUUAUAUAUAUUGUUUAUUCAAAAGCAAGCUUAAUCUGUAAUCGGUUAGUCUGUAUUUAGGACAUAAGAAAAAGAUUCAAGACCAUGUAUUUCUAGUGAAUGUACGAAAAUGGAAUGUUUUUUUUUUAAUAUAAGACACUUUUUCAUCGCACAUCAAUAAAUGUUUAAUCAGUCUCGUUUUUUUCCAAUA